rnacentral:rRNA from 1 species
AUGGGCAUUGAAGGUCGACAAAAUCUUCCGCUUGCACAAUAUGAGGAAGAGAAGAAGAUCGCCAUGGCAUCCCUUGAGCUCCAAGACUACGUCCUCAUUUGGUGGGAACAAAUCAUUGAGCAUCGAGAGGCAAGAGGUGAACCACUCAUCACUACUUGGGCGCAACUGAAGGAUGUCAUGAGAGCACGCUUCGUGCCAACCUACUACAACCACGACCUCUUCAAGAAACUCCAACUCCUCAAGCAAGGAACCAAGAGCAUUGAAGAAUACCACAAGGAAAUGGAGAUUGCAAUGAUACAAGCCAAUGUCACAGAAGAUGAUGAGCAAACUAUGUCACGUUUCUUGAAUGGACUCAAUCAUCCUAUCAAGAAGAUCGCUGACUUCCAACCAUACUCAAACCUCAUUGAGCUUGUGCAUCAAGCUACCAAAGCGAAACGUCAAGUGCAAGAUGACUUCAAGUAUGCCAAGUUCUCAUCCAAGUCCUAUGGCUUCUCCAACACCCAAGCUUCAACGACUCCAACACCUUCUACCUCAACCAAGCCUUCUACAAGCAACGCUAACAAGUCGAGUUACAAGAAAACCUCGACAACUCCAAGUCAUCAUGAAAGUGCAACUAUCCCUGGGUGGUUUUGGUAA